GUGGGGAAUCUUCCGCAAUGGACGAAAGUCUGACGGAGCGACGCCGCGUGAGUGAAGAAGGCCUUCGGGUCGUAAAGCUCUGUCAUCAGGGACGAACGGCCGGUGGAGUGGAAAGCCACCGGAUUGACGGUACCUGAGAAGGAAGCCACGGCUAACUACGUGCCAGCAGCCGCGGUAAUACGUAGGUGGCAAGCGUUGUCCGGAAUUAUUGGGCGUAAAGCGCGCGCAGGUGGGAUCUUAAGUCCAUUUUGAAAGUUCGGAGCUCAACUCCGUGAUGGGAUGGAAACUGGGAUUCUUGAGUACCGGGGAGGAAAGCGGAAUUCCCCGUGUAGCGGUGAAAUGCGUAGAUAUGGGGAGGAACACCAGUGGCGAAGGCGGCUUUCUGGACGGUGUCUGACACUGAGGCGCGAAAGCUAGGGGAGCGAACGGGAUUAGAAACCCUAGUAGUCC
rnacentral:rRNA from 1 species